GCCGUUCCUUCCGGACCCGGAAGCGGCCCGCGCAGGGGAAGGUCACUCCGGGUCUGCGACUUUUGGCCUUUGUUGUGCGAGCCCAAGCAUCUCCGCGCACAGCCCUGCGCCUGCGAAGCCCGGGGUCGCGGCGGGCCUGGGGAUCCCCAAACCGCGUCUCCAACGGGGACAAGGAAGUGUGACAUUUUUCAUCAUUUCAAGUUCCUUCUGCCUGUGAGCGUGGUGGAAGCAGAGGAAGAGGCUGUGCUUAGGCCUUUGAAAGCAUAUCCUCAAGACGCAGAUGUGAUUCCGCAGCAUAAGGUCGCCUGAGGAAACCACCCGGAGCAGGAGGAGGAAGAGGACAACAUGGCUGCUCCUCAGGGACAGUUGACCUUCAGUGAUGUGGCCAUAGAAUUCUCUCAGGAGGAGUGGGCAUUCCUGGACCCAGCUCAGCGGAAACUGUACAUGGACGUGAUGUUGCAGAACUACAGGAACCUGUUAUUCCUGGGUCUUACUGUGUCUAAGCCAGACCUCACUUUUUUGGAGCAAAUGGAGGAGACCUGGGAAUUGGAGGAAGAAAAGACUGUAGUCAUCCACCCAGCUAUAUCUUCUCAAGCCACCCAGGACUUGUUGCCAAAGUCAGGCAUAAAAGAUUCAUUCCACGAAAUGUUCCAGAGUACGCAUAAUGAAGAGAGAAGUCUCCAGUGCAAUGAAUCUUGGAAAAACAUUAAACAAGAGUCAAAUUCUGAUAACCAUCAGACAACUCAGCUUCCACAGAGAAAUGAUAAGUGUCCGAAUGUCUUUGAUAAAAGCUCAAAUAUUGUUAUACCUCAGGAUAUUGAUAGUGUAGAGAUGACAGACAAAUGUAACGAAUAUGCCAACUCUUUUGAUCAGUCAUUAAAUCUUACUGAACUUAAAAAUAAUGAUAUUGGGGAGGAGCCUUUCCGGUGUAAUCAGUGUGUGAGAGUCCUUAGUCAAUUAUCCAAUGUAUAUAUGCAUAAGAAAAUCCGUGCUAGAGAGAAGCCUUACAAAUGUAAAGAAUGUGAUAAAGUUUUUAAGUUGCAUUCCCAUGUUAUUGAACAGCAGACACUUCAUACUGGAGAGAAGCUUUAUAAAUGCAGAGAUUGUGGCAAAACCUUUAACAAGUGCUUAAAACUUAAUGAAUAUCAGAGGCUUCAUCCUGGAGAGAAGCCUUAUAAAUGUAGAGAAUGUGGCAAAGCCUACAAGUGGUAUUCGAGCCUUACCAGUCAUCAGAGAAUUCAUUCUGGAGAGAAGCCUUAUAAAUGUAGAGUAUGUGGCAAAACCUUUAACGUGUUUUCAAGCUUGAUUCGACAUCAGAGUAUUCAUACUGGAGAUAAGCCUUAUAAAUGUAGAGAAUGUGGCAAAGCCUUUAACUGGUAUUCAAGCCUUACUCGACAUCAGAAAAUUCAUACUGGAGAGAAACCUUAUGAAUGUAGAGAAUGUGGCAAAGCCUUUAACCGGUGUUCAGACCUGACUACUCAUCAGAGACUUCAUACUGGAGAGAAGCCUUAUAAAUGUGGAGAAUGUGACAAAGCCUUUAUCCGGAGUUCAAGCCUUACCCUUCAUCAGAGAAUUCAUACUGGAGAGAAGCCUUAUAAAUGUAGAGAAUGUGGCAAAGCCUUUACCAGGUGCUCAAAACUUACUGAACAUCAGAGAAUUCAUUCUGUAGGGAGGCCUUAUAAGUGCAGAGAAUGUGGCAGAACUUUUAAUGACUGUACAAGCCUUAUGAAACAUGAGAGAAACCAUACUAGAGAUAAGGCUUAUACAUGUGAAGAAUGUGGCAAAUCCUUUAACUGGUAUUCAAGCCUGACUCGACAUCAGAGAACUCACACAGGGGAGAAGCCUUAUAAAUGCAGAGAAUGUGACAAAGCAUUUUACCGGUGUUCAGACCUAACCAAUCAUCAUAGAAUUCAUACUGGAGAGAAGCCUUAUAAAUGUGGAGAAUGUGGCAAAGCCUUUAACUGGUAUUCCAGCUUUACUCAACAUCAGAGAAUUCAUCUGGAAAGAAGUUUUAUAAAUGUAGAGAAUAUGGCAAGGCCUUUACCCAGUGCUCAGAACUUACUUAACUUCAGAGAUUUCACACUGGAGGAAGGCCUUAUAAAUGUAGAGAAUGUAGCAGACCCUUUAAGCACUGUUCAACUCUUACCAGAUAUCAGAGGUCUCUUACUAGAGAGAAACCUUAUAAAUGUUGAGAAUGUGGCAGAUCCUUUACCCUCUGCUUUAACCUUACCAAACAUAUGAGAAUGCAUACCUGAGAAAAGCUUUACAAAUGUAAAGAGUGUGACAAAGCCUUCAACCUCUGCUAUAGCUUUACUCAGUAUUGGGGAAUCCAAACUGGAUAGAAGCAAUGCAAAUGUAAAUAAUGUGGAAAAACCUUUAGCUGUUGCCCAAAUCUCACUAAGUAUAUAGAAUUCAGACCAGAGGGAAGUGUAGAGAACGUGGAAAAGCCUUUCCCCCAGUGUUGGAACCUUAGUCCAUAUUACAUAAAUUAUGUUAGACUGAAACAAUACAAAUAAAAAGAAUGUGGUAAAAUCUUUAACCAUUAAACAAACCUCACUGAACUUCAGAGAGUUCAUAGUGGAGAGAAAUCAUGCAAAUGUCAAAAAUGCAGCAAUGCCUGUAUUUAGCAUUUAUAUCUUAAUUGAUAAAUGAGAAUUUAUACUGGAGAGAAACUUAAAAAUUUAAAGAAUAUGGCAAACCCUUUUGCAGGACGUACAGCCUUUCUCAAUAUCAGAGAAUGCAUACUGGAGAUAAAUUCUAUCUUUGUUAUAAAUGAAGAAAGAUUUUUGUCCAAAAUACACAUUUCAGAAAGCCCCACAGAAUUUACCCUUUAAAGUGACUUUAAAGAUCUAGAAAAUCUAGCAAAGUGGCUAAUCAAAAUUAAAUCUAAAAUAUCAGAAAAUUCACAGUAGAAAGUAAUGUCAACACUUUCAAAUAUGAGUAAAUCUGAAUACUUAUUUUAGAGAACCCAGUAAAUAAAGUUAUGUGGCUUUUUAGUAGGAAUCAAAGUACCAAGGGUAUGGAUGUUUGAAUAGAUGUAAUUGCUUACACUGUAUCCUUUUUUAAAAGUUAUUAUUAUGACAGUAUUUGUGAUUUUUUUGAAACAAAGUAUUAUUGGCUUAAAAUCUUAAUUCAUUUCAUAAUUUUAUAAAUGAUUGUAAUGUGUAUUUUGACUAGUGGUAAUAUAGUGGGUUUGUAAUGCUAUGUUUAGACUAUGUGUGGACUUAAUAUAUUCUCAUUGAUAAAAUGAAUGAACAUAAGUGUAUUAAUAGUGAUGUGUAAUGAAUGAGGUGUUAACAUGCCUUGAAUGUUAAUGUUUUCCACCUCAUUCACCGCUGUGGGUAACAAUUUGUAAUGCACUGGAAUGAUAUUACUAGAAGUCCUUUACCCAGGGACCUUUAACCUUAUAUAAUAUGUAGAGUUUCCCCAGAAUUUAUGUUUUCUUCUUUCUGUUGUACCUACAGGGACAUUAUGAUGGUUGCAGUAAAGAUCUAGUGGAAGUAUUUGUAAGAGUUUAGCUAAAAUACUUUAUGAUGUUUCUGCAUUGGCAUUUGUCUUGUGUAGCUAAGGAGCCUUGACUUGAACUCCAUUCUCCCUCCAGUGCACACACUAGACACCAACUUACAGUGUCACAAUUAAAUGUGUAAGGUUUUGAUAUGACUUCUCAAGAAGCCCUUGAGCACUAUAGAGUGUUGUAUACCUCAGGGUCUUUAUUUUGUAUGCCGUAUAUAUAAGAUUGCUGAAGAGUUUACCAAAACCUUGUUGAUUUUCCUUUGAAUAUAACAAUCUGGACCUCAAUUGAGAACCCCAGGGCACUCCACAUGGUGUUCCUAACAAAGGCAUGCACUCUGGGUCCUGCAACCCUCUGCCUGCAUCCUGUCUUGGCGUCCCUGUGUAGCCCCCUGCAGGCGUAUUGUGUAUUUCCUCCAGGCCUAUGAGUUAUAAACUGGUUUUUGCCAGUUUACCUUGUGGUCUUCUGAGUUACUGCUGGUUACCAUUCGGUACCAGUCAGCUUUGCUUAACAAAUGCUAAUUUAACAAAUCUAAAAAAGUAUGAUUAGAAGCCCUAUUUUUGGAAUUCUGCAUCAUGAUUACAUUUUAGCCUAUAUAUAUUUUUCACACUUCCUUUUUCUGAGCCUAUAUAACAGAUUUGCAUGGUUUUGAUAUGUACUGCAUGUAAUAUGUAAGUAUAGUAACAAAGAUGUGAUUUAGGAGUAAGAGGAUUAAUGAGGAAGUGGGUGUGUAUGUGUGUGUACACAUAUCUUUAGAAAAAAAGGAUCUAAAUUAGUUAAUUUAAAAAUAUUUGUUGAUUUACUAGCAAGCUAGAAAUCUUACAGGUUUAUAAUGUGAAUCAUCCUUUAUACAUUACAGUGAAUUUCUCCCAAAUCUGAUGAUUCUUGGUCUGAGAAUCUCCCACUGCAGUUCUGUCUGUUUACAUUUCUGUGUCUCAUGUAAGAUCUAACGUAUGUUUUCCUUGUUCCAUAGUGGAUGAAAUGUUGCUUAUAUGUCGUGCUUGGAGAUUUUAAGAAUGGCUUUCAUUGAAUUCAAUGGUGUACAGAAAUAUCCUGAAAAUGUUACAUGGACAUCAGAGCCAUUGUCCUUUGAAGUGCUAUGACUAUACUAUCUCAAUACUCUCCCCAUUCCACAUCAUCCUUGCUGAUCAUUGUAGGCCUAGGAAAGCCAAAGCUGAAAAUAAGAAGCAAGAAGGGAAGUGGAGGACCCACUGUCUGCCUCACAGGUGCCCACAGCCAUCCCUUCUGGGUUUUGUCCAGGUCCACAGGCAUGUGGCAUUUUAUACAACAAGAAACAACUCUCAGAAAGAGAAACUAAAAAAAUCAAUCCCGUUUACCAUUGCAGUAAAUAAAUAAAUAAAUAAAUAAAUCAAUCAAGUAAGUAAGUAUCUAGUAAUAAUCUUAACCAAGGAGUUAAAAAGCCUCUACUUGGAAAACUAUAGGACACUGGAAAAAGAAAUAGAGGAAGAUACAAACAAGUGGAAGCAUAUACCGUUUCAUUGAUUUUAAGAGUUAACAUCAUUAAAAUGUCCAUACUACCCACAAGUAAUUUCUAGAUUCAACACAAUAUGUAUUAAAAUACAAAUGGCAGAGUUCACAGAUCUGGAACAAAUUCCAAAAAUUCCUGUGGAACCAAAAAAGACUCCAUAUAGCCUUAGCUAUCUUGAGAAAAUAGAACACAGUUAGAGGGAUGACCACAUGGGAUAUCGAACUAUACUACAAAGCCAUUGUCAUAAAAAAAGCCUGGUACUGGCACAAGAACAGGCAUAUACAGUAAUGAAAAAGAACACACCCCAGAAAAUAACCACACCAUAUAGUUUUGACUAAUGAGGUGAGAGCAUACAGGGAGUAUAGACAGUCUCUUCAAUAAAUGGGAAAAUUGGAUGGUACAUGCAAAACAAAAAAAUGCAAUGACCAUCAAAUUUGUAUCAUACACAAGAAUAAACUGAAAAAUGAAUAAAAUAUUUUAAUGUAAGCCACACAACCAGAAAAAUCCUAAAAGAGAACAGAGGCCAUAAUAUCUCAGACCUCUCACCAAGCAGUAUUUUUGCUGAUACAUCUCCUAGGUUAGGGAAACAAAGGAAAAAUAUAUGAAUGGUACUAUAUCAAACUAAAAAGCUUCUGCACAGCAAAAUAAACCAUUGGUGUGUGAAAAGGGAACCCACUGUAUGGGAGAGCAUAUUCUUCAAUGAUACAUCUGGAAAGGGGUUAAUUUCCAAAACAUAUAAAGAACUUACACAACUCAACACCAGGAAGUCAACCCAAAUAAAAAUUUGAGCAAAGGUCCUGGAUAGACACUUCUUCAAAGAGAAUAUACAGAUGACCAAUGGGUAUAGGAAAAAAUGAUUAACAUCAGUAAUCUUCAGAGGAAUGCAAAUUAAAACAACAAUGAGGUAUCACCUCUCACCUGCCAGAAUUGCUACGCAUCAAUAAAUCAACAAGUGCUGAUGAGGAGGUGGAGAAAAAGGAACCCUAGUUCACUGCUGGUGGGAAUGCAGACUGGUGCAGCCACUGUGGAAAACAGUAUGGAGUUUUCUUAAAUAAUUAAAAAUGGAACUGCCUUAUCAUCCAGCCAUUCCACUUAUGGGAAUAUACCCUUAGAAUCUUAAAACACCAUCAGAAAGAAUAUUUGCACCUUUGUGUUCAUAGCAGCAUUAUUUCCAAUAGCUAAGAUCUAGAAACAGCCCAAGUGCCCAUCAUUAGAUGAGUGGGUAAAAAAUC